rnacentral:rRNA from 1 species
UACGUAGGGUCCGAGCGUUGUCCGGAAUUAUUGGGCGUAAAGGGCUCGUAGGCGGUUUGUUGCGUCGGGAGUGAAAACUUCGAGCUUAACUCGGAGCUUGCUUUCGAUACGGGCAGACUUGAGGCAUUCAGGGGAGAACGGAAUUUCUGGUGUAGCGGUGAAAUGCGCAGAUAUCAGAAGGAACACCGGUGGCGAAGGCGGUUCUCUGGGAAUGUUCUGACGCUGAGGAGCGAAAGUGUGGGGGGCGAACAGG